AGCAAAUUAAAUGAUGAAAUUUCUAAAUCUGAAUUCCAAUGUGUGGAAUCUGCAUUGCAGUAGCCUUCAAAGUUCUCUCAUUGCU